rnacentral:rRNA from 1 species
GACGAACGCUGGCGGCGUGCUUAACACAUGCAAGUCGAACGGAAAGGCCCUGCUUUUGUGGGGUGCUCGAGUGGCGAACGGGUGAGUAACACGUGAGUAACCUGCCCUUGACUUUGGGAUAACUUCAGGAAACUGGGGCUAAUACCGGAUAGGAGCUCCUGCUGCAUGGUGGGGGUUGGAAAGUUUCGGCGGUUGGGGAUGGACUCGCGGCUUAUCAGCUUGUUGGUGGGGUAGUGGCUUACCAAGGCUUUGACGGGUAGCCGGCCUGAGAGGGUGACCGGCCACAUUGGGACUGAGAUAAGGCCCAGACUCCUACGGGAGGCAGCAGUGGGGAAUAUUGCACAAUGGGCGGAAGCCUGAUGCAGCAACGCCGCGUGCGGGAGGACGGCCUUCGGGUGGUAAACCGCUUUCGCCUGUGACGAAGCGUGAGUGACGGUAAUGGGUAAAGAAGCACCGGCGAACUACGU